rnacentral:rRNA from 1 species
AGCAGCCGCGGUAAUUCCAGCUCCAAUAGCGUAUAUUAAAGUUGUUGCAGUUAAAAAGCUCGUAGUUGAAUUUCGGGAUUAGUAAGUUGGUCGUGCCUCUGGUAUGUACUGGCUUUACUGGUUCCUCCUUCUCGAAGAACUGUAAUGUCAUUAAUUUGGUGUUGCAGGGAAACAGGACUGUUACUUUGAAAAAAUUAGAGUGUUUAAAGCAGGCUAACGCUUGAAUACAUUAGCAUGGAAUAAUGAAAUAGGACGUUUGAUCCUAUUUUGUUGGUUUCUAGGAUUGACGUAAUGAUUAAUAGGGAUAGUUGGGGGCAUUAGUAUUCAAUUGUCAGAGGUGAAAUUCUUGGAUUUAUUGAAGACUAACUACUGCGAAAGCAUUUGCCAAGGAUGUUUUCAUUAAUCAAGAACGAAAGUUAGGGGAUCGAAGACGAUCAGAUACCGUCGUAGUCUUAACCAUAAACUAUGCCGACUAGGGAUCGGAUGAUGUUAAUUUUUUAAUGACUCAUUCGGCGCCUUA